rnacentral:lncRNA from 1 species
UCCGGCUUUAGAACUCUGCGGUUUUGUGGAGCUCGAGAGUCCGGGACAAGGUAGACGCAGGAUAUUGACCUUUUUAUUUUUAACUGCAUUUUCAGUUUGGAGGUUGUAAAAUAGGUAUAACAUUUAAGAAAAAAAAUUGAAAGAUAUCUAUUGGAUGCUGAUGAUUAUGAAACAAAGUAGCAAAGAUAAGAAGCCAUUUGCUCAUUCUGCUCCUUUGCCAGCAAUAUUUCACAAAGCCCCUGACUCAUUGACUGUGAGCAGCCUUGUGGAAGAAUGCCUUGAAGACCAUAAGCAGGAUAGGGAAUAGGUUUGCACAUCUCUUGCCUGAAUCACUGAAUUUUUACAAAAGAGUCUACAGAAGGAACACAGCUCUACCAAUCCAAUUUGGACUUCAGACCUUCAGAGGUGCCAGGUAAUACAUUUGCUUUAUUUUAAGCCACUAAAUUUGUGGUUACUUAUUAUGGUAGCAAUAGGAAACUAAUACAGGUACCUCAACUGUUAGCCGUGGUUACUCCCUAGAGGUUUGGAAAUGAAGAUCAGAGUUGAAGAGGACUUUUAUUCUCCAUUGUUCAUGUUAUUUGAACUGUUAUCAUGGAUUUAUGUUGGUUUUAUUAUGGAUCUAUAUUGCUUCUUAAAUAAAAAUAAUUAAGAGCAGAAGUAGCUAAUAUUAAGUGAAAAGAUAGUGUAGAAAAUUGUAUAAAGGGUAAUUGUUCAACCAUGAAAAAAUAGAAAAAAAAUAAGAAGGAAACUUACUAAAAUGUUAUCCAGUUGUUUUUCCUGAGUAUUAAGAGUGUGCAUGUUCUAUUUUCAUUUAUCCUCUGAGUCACUCAAGUUAUUCAUUAAGCAUCUACUCUGUGUUAAAGAAUGUGCUAGGAACUGAGAAUGCAGUGGGGAAUAAGAGAGACACAAUUUCUGCCCUCAUGGAACAAGGCAGAUUAAACAGAUGAUCAGACAAAUUAUUAAUUAAUUAUAUUGUAAUAAGUUCAAUAUAGGCAAGAUACAGACUGAAAUCACCAUGCACUAGGGCAACAUAACGUAGUCAGGGAAUGCUUUCCUAAGGAAUUUCAGCUUGGAAUUAAAUGAGAAUUUUCCAGUCAGAGACAGGAAAUAAAAUUUUUUACAAAGAGGACAUACCCCCUUUUUAUCAGGAGAAAAAUGAACAUUUUAAAUUUUUUUUAAAAAGAAAUAGUUAACAUUUCUCUAUCCUUUUAUAUCUGGUAACAGCAGCUGCUCAGUGCUGGAAAUGGUCUGCUUUUUCUGCUUGAUUUAGCCAAAUUCAGUUUAAUGAUCAGACUUUUUUUUCUCUUGUUCAAGCACUUCAGGCAAAUGAAAUAUUUAAGUGAAUAAAUUGAGGCCACUAGACAAAAAAGUAAAAUAAUAAUGGUUAAAUAUCUUCCGUAUCCAGAGCUCACAUUAUUAAACUAUUAGAUCUAAUACUUUUUGGUUGUCAAUCUAUCAAAAAAAGCUUGUGAUAGGCCCUUAAUAUUGAUUGACCUUGACAGAAAUAAGACCCGGUGUCUUUGCCAGUUGAAGUUCUGUUUUUAUCCAACCAAAACUAAGAAACACAAAUGAAGAAGCAAAGAACAAGAAUUAUUUUGAAAUCGACAUAAAAUGUAUCACUAAUCGAAUUUUUCUCAAAAGAAUUUCAUAGAUGAAAUCUGUAUCACUGGGUACUAAAAAUUAAGAAUUUCAAAUUUCUCAACUUUAGAAUCUUCUCUUAUAAUUUCCAGAUGAGUAGUAAUUUUCCAGAUGAUGGUUUGGGAUUACUUUCAGCACAAGAGCAGGGAGAAUAACAUCUCUGUAAUGAAUAGGCACUAAUGAUUUCAUAGUUAAUGAUUAACAUCUCUGGAAAAAAAAACAAAAUAAAAAUAGAGAGCCUAUUAAUAAAUGUCAUGCCACCAAAAAUCACUACGUGAAAUUACGUUAAAUUUUUUUUGUUAAAAAUUUUAUUUACUUGAUCCUUUUUGUUUGUUGUUUGCUUGCUUUCCAGUAUACUUAUGUGUCUGUAACACUUAGAGCAGUAAUGUCCUUUAAUGAAAAUCAGAAUAAAUAUGACUAUGUUUAACAAAAAAUGUAUCAUAAUGUAGAAUUGACUUACAAUGACAAUGAUGUAAUGAGAAGUUAUGUACUGUAUAUGACAGAGAUUACUAGGUAAAUUGCAAAUAGAAGAUACUAUAAACAUAUCAUUGAGAAUGUCAUGAAAAUGGAAUGUUUGAAGUUCAGAUAUUCUUUCUACAAAUGCAAUAAAAUAUUUAGAAUUUUUAGUUGGUUGAAUAGUGUUCCCCCCAAGUUCAUGUACUCCCAGAACCUCAGAAUGUGAGCAAAUUUAGUAAUAGAGUCUUUGCAAAUAUAAUCAAGGUAAGGAUUAAUAUAAGAUCAUACUGAAUUAUAGUGGUCCCUAAAUCCAAUAUCUGGUGUCCUUAAUAAGAGGAGGAAAGGACACA